UCCCUUGACUGACUUUCAGGCUGUGACUGCUGGAAGAGCACAUGAAAACGUCAGAAGCUGAGGAUGAUAUUGAGAGGAAACUCUUCAGGUCUUUCACCACACGUGCCUAAAGAUGAAAUGCAUUAAUGCAGCAGAUGUACCUCAUCCACAUUUGACUGAAAUUUUAUUCUUUCCAGCUCCGUCGAUACAAGAUUUGUCUUGCUGGGAUUUUAAGACUUAUAGUACCUUAAAUAUACAAGCUUUCAGUGCUACCAUGCAAGAUUGCUGUUUCAACAAAACUUACAUUUCCCAGUGCAUUUCUAUUGUUUAAGUGACAAACUGGGAAACAGAGAAAGAUUGGGAUCAUUACUGAUGAUCCCUGAAGGCAUGCAUCUCAGAUUGAAGUUGAAGUAAUUCCUCUCAUUAAAAAGCAUUUAAAAAUGUUGAAAA